GACGAACGCUGGCGGCGUGCUUAACACAUGCAAGUCGAACGAUGAAGAAAAGAAUUGAAGCUUCGGCAGAAAUUCAUUUCGGAUUAGUGGCAGACGGGUGAGUAACGCGUGAGCAACCUACCUCUUACAAAGGGAUAGCCUCGGGAAACCGGGAUUAAUACCAUAUAACAUUGCGACGAAGCAUUUCGAUGCAAUCAAAGCUACGGCGGUAAGAGAUGGGCUCGCGUCCCAUUAACCAGAUGGUGAGGUAACGGCUCACCAUAGUAACGAUGGGUAACCGGGAUGAGAGGGUGAACGGUCACACUGGAACUGAGACACGGUCCAGACUCCUACGGGAGGCAGCAGUGGGGAAUAUUGCACAAUGGAGGGAACUCUGAUGCAGCGACGCCGCGUGAGUGAUGAAGGAAUUCGUUUCGUAAAACUCUGUUCUAUGGGAAGAAAAGGACUGUACCAUAGGAGAAAGCUCCGGCUAAAUACGUG
rnacentral:rRNA from 1 species